CAGUAGCCGCGGUAAAACGUAGGGUCCGAGCGUUGUCCGGAAUUAUUGGGCGUAAAGGGCUCGUAGGCGGUUUGUUGCGUCGGGAGUGAAAUCCUACAGCUUAACUGUGGGCUUGCUUUCGAUACGGGCAGACUUGAGGCAUUCAGGGGGGAACGGAAUUCCUGGUGUAGCGGUGAAAUGCGCAGAUAUCAGGAGGAACACCGGUGGCGAAGGCGGUUCUCUGGGAAUGUUCUGACGCUGAGGAGCGAAAGUGUGGGGAGCGAACAGGAUUAGAUACCCCUGUAGUCCCUGUCGCUUAUAA
rnacentral:rRNA from 1 species